CCGGAAUCUCCCACACCUCCUUUUCACCUCGCCCCCUUGCAUCUGCGCGGGGCAUCUAGCGGCAUGUAUUCCCACUGCUGCCAUGCCUUCCAAGAUCCAACAGUCGGCCGGCUUCCCUGCGCACUGCCCCUCCCUAUAGCGCAUGUCCAUGGAUUCGAUUUUCGAGCAGACUAUGAUUCAGAAGCUACAAGUGUAGAGUGCAAAAAAUUGGAAACGUCGCUAGAUUAAGUGCGGAGUACUACCUACGUACGUCCACUAUGAGCACUGCCAUGCUUUAUUGUGAUCAACAGGACAAACAAAGCUGCAUAUUAUGCACGAAAUUGAUGCUUACUUUCCUUUUUUCCUGAUGCAUCAUGUAUGCACUUAAUUAAAUGUGAAUAAACACAUUGUUGAUCAUUUAUUUGAUUGUGUGUUUUGCAGCUUGCCUUUGACAAGGUUUCUGAAGAUUAACCAAUAGAACUUCAGUGAUUGGGCUCGAAAGAUCAGUACAAGCAAUAUAAGGUAAAGGAUGAGUUACUGAGACAGUGCAUAUAUCUCCCUUCUUCCUAAUAGAAUUGGAGGAAUCAUCGUAUUCAUUGUUAAAGUAAGUUAGCAUUGGCAUAUAUUUUACGUGGUCUCCGAAGGCGCAUAUUGGGCCCUUAAUUGGAGCUAAACACAAGGGUCCGGGAGUGAAGCAAGCUGCUGUACUAGAUAUCAAUGGUUAAAUUUUUGUUGAACAGCUUUCCUUUGCAUUCUCUUACUCAUUUCCAGUAAAGUAUGCCAAAUAAAAUUGUAAGGAACCAUCUAAAAAAAGGAUACAUUUUUCUCUACCUGGAAUCAUUUCUCAAACUUCCACAUAUAAAAGAGAGAAACUUUUUUCUCUAUGAGCCCAAAUAAUUUUGUUUGGCUUUACUGAUUGUCAAAUUUAGAUGGUUUUUCUGCACCAUUUAAGUAUUGCAGUCUAAUACUGAAUAACUAAUUGACCUGUGCUAUUAAAUAAAUGUGCAAACUCAUUAAAGGCAGAGUUCUGGUUGAUUGGUAUGGACUGAACAACAUUUCACUUUCGUUCAUAGCCUUUUCUGUUAGAGGUUCAAUAAUAAUAGGAUAAGCACGAGGCAUGGAAGCCGGUGGCGCCGCCUAUCACUUUCUAACAGGGACAACAGCGCAAUCUUGCAGGGCUUAACCCAAAUACACGACAUUUUUGUGUCUCAUUUUACUCUCUCUUUUUUUCGAGGGCUUCGUUUUACUCUUUCAUCACCACAUUUUCUAGGAUGCUGAAUUGAGCAUGCUUUGUCUAGCAACUCACGGGGUUCUUCUUGAUUGUAAAAGAGGUGAUCAUGGCAACAUGAAAAUGCUUUCUGUGUGGUCAAGUUGGGCAGGCUGCUAAAUGCAAAUGGCCAGAUUACGCUGACAAUGUUGUAUGAUGCCUCCAAUUCAUAUAAAGAAAUGCCAGUUUCUUAACAUCUAGGUGGAUGCGUAAACGAAGGAAAUGGUUAUCUUAUUGCAAGAUGCAUGUGGAGGAGAUGCACGACAUUGGUGAAAUAAGUGAGGAUGAUGUGUUGUGGUCAUCAAAGAGGGCAAAGAGUUUUGGAAUUCCAUGUAUGUCGGUAUUGUUAGGCUCACACGCUCCUGUUGCAAUAAUUUUUUUCUAAUCAGUGUAUGUCUAUAUGUGCAUUUAUAUGUCCAUGGCAACCUGACCCAUGUGAGUGCAGCGGCUACAAAUCGAAAUUUCAGUACUCAUAGCCCAACCACCUCUAUAUAAUCAAAUUAGACAUGUACUGAAGGAGGGAUCAUGUGUGAGUAUUCAAAGGACACAAUGUCCUGUGACCUAUCUUCACGAUAAAUCCUUUAUUUUCCAUCUCAGGGGAUAUCAUUUGUAUCCUUUGGUAUAUUUUUUCUGAAUUCGUUGCAAUGGUUAUAUUAUUUGC